rnacentral:tRNA from 1 species
GCGGGUGUAGCUCAAUUGGUUAGAGCGCCAGAUUGUGAUUCUGGAGGUUGCGGGAUCGUGCCCCGUCACUCGCCCCA